CCGGUUCGUCCGGGCCGGACCCGGGACCGGCCACGGGUCGGAGGUAACAACGUAUAGCGAACCUACGCCCGUCGGCGACGGGGGAGGUAAGACGGGGAGGAACCCCGUCUAAUACCGCGUAACGCGGCCUAGGGACAUCCCAAGGCCGCCAAAGGGAGCAAUCCCGGCCACGGAUGGGCAUGCGGCGCAUUAGCUAGUCGGCGGGGUAACGGCCCACCGAGGCGACGAUGCGUAGGGGUUCUGAGAGGAAGGUCCCCCACACUGGUACUGAGACACGGACCAGACUCCUACGGAAGGCAGCAG
rnacentral:rRNA from 1 species